CCGAACGUGGGCCACGUCCGCGAGGCCGGCACCGGCUUCGAGCUGGUGCGGAUCCCCUGGCCGGGUUGACGGCUCCCGGAACUCGGCC
rnacentral:tRNA from 1 species